rnacentral:RNase_P_RNA from 1 species
CAGGAGCGACAGGUAGUUGCUGGUGGCAUUGUCCACGAGAGGAAAGUCCGGGCUGCACGCAAGAGAGGACUCCAUCUAACGGAUGGCCAGAGUAAUCUGAGGGCAAGUGCAACAGAGAGUAGACCGCCGGGGACCAGGGAGCAGAUAGAAGAGAGCAGUGAGCAUUACCUGCUGCCUUCUCUUUAUUAUCUGCUCCCUUAUCAUCCCCGGUAAGGGUGAAAGGGUGGGGUAAGAGCCCACCGGUGGGGAUGGUAACAUCCUCAGCCAGGUAAACCCUGUCCGCAGCAAGAAGCAUAUGGUAUUAACUCUUGCAAAGCCGUUUAUCGGCACUCAUGCUUCGCUUGAGCCUGUUGGCAACAACAGGCCUAGAUAAAUAACUACCCAACGACAGAACCCGGCUUAUCGUUGCUCCUGACUA